AUUGAACGCUGGCGGCAGGCUUAACACAUGCAAGUCGAACGAGUGGCGGACGGGUGAGUAAUGAUUGGGAAUCUGGCUUAUGGAGGGGGAUAACUAAGGGAAACUAUAGCUACUACCGCGUACCAUAGGAUGAGCCCAAAUGGGAUUAGGUAGUUGGUGGGGUAAAGGCUCACCAAGCCGACGAUCUCUAGCUGGUCUGAGAGGAUGACCAGCCACACGUGGACGGAGACACGGCCCAGACUCCUACGGGAGGCAGCAGUGGGGAAUAUUGCGCAAUGGGGGCAACCUGACGCAGCCAUGCCGCGUGAAUGAAGAAGGCCUUCGGGUUGUAAAGUACUUUCGGUAGGGAGGCGUUAACUACAGAAGAAGCACCGGCUAACUCCGUGCCAGCAGCCGCGGUAAUUC
rnacentral:rRNA from 1 species